GAUGAACGCUGGCGGCGUGCCUAAUACAUGCAAGUCGAGCGAACGGACGAGAAGCUUGCUUCUCUGAUGUUAGCGGCGGACGGGUGAGUAACACGUGGAUAACCUACCUAUAAGACUGGGAUAACUUCGGGAAACCGUAGCUAAUACCGGAUAAUAUUUUGAACCGCAUGGUUCAAAAGUGAAAGACGGUCUUGCUGUCACUUAUAGAUGGAUCCGCGCUGCAUUAGCUAGUUGGUAAGGUAACGGCUUACCAAGGCAACGAUGCAUAGCCGACCUGAGAGGGUGAUCGGCCACACUGGAACUGAGACACGGUCCAGACUCCUACGGGAGGCAGCAGUAGGGAAUCUUCCGCAAUGGGCGAAAGCCUGACGGAGCAACGCCGCGUGAGUGAUGAAGGUCUUCGGAUCGUAAAACUCUGUUAAUAGGGAAGAACAUAUGUGUAAGUAACUGUGCACAUCUUGACGGUACCUAAUCAGAAAGCCACGGCUAACUACGUG
rnacentral:rRNA from 1 species